AUCAGUAUCUGUAUUAAAAGUAUUGGCUAUAAAUAAAGAGGGCAUAGGAGAGGCAAUGGCCAUGUAAAACACAAUAUUUUUCAGUAUGAAAGCCUUAGUGAUAGCUAUUCUUAUAGCCACCAUUGCCUUCUCUCCUUCAUCCAUGGCAGCUCGAGAAUCGGUCGACUAUGGAAAAGAUAGCGUUACCGUCAAUAUCCCAUCAACUGGCGAUGUAUCAUCUAGAAGCCAGGCUCUUUACUACGCUCCACGAAGUGGCAGUGGAUGUAGCAUUUACCAACGAGAUUGUCCUCCCAAGAAGAAAAAACGUUGUAAACCUUACAAGCGUGAAUGCCAUCGCCCUUGAAAAUGAAAGAGUAGUUUGAUUUGGGUCCAUUAUCUAGUGGUAAAAGCUGUGAGCUCAAAGCACAGGGCUAUCUAUAAUUACUUUCAUUUCCAUUACCAAUGUAAUUAUAUCAUUAUUGGAAAUUAAAUAAAAGUUCCAAGAAAAUUUUAAAGUAUAA